ACCUCCUCCCACGAAUCACAAAUGUCCUUAAUAGCAAUCCUUAAAUGCCAUUCAGGACAUUUGUGAUUGAUGGGAGGAGGU
rnacentral:pre_miRNA from 2 species